CGUCGCGAUGCCUGUGCGCAGGAUGCAACGGAGGCACUUGUCCCGAACGAAGGACACGAGACAGUUACUAAUGUACACUAAAAAUCUUUGUCAGAUUUGAGAUCGUAUUAACUACCAGCAAAAUACGCUCAUAUGUGGAAAAAAUAGCAGAUGGAGUUGAUAAAACGCCUGAACAAUGAAUACAGACCUCAUCGUCAAAGAUCGCGAGAAAAAGGCUUGAACAAUCGGGUCCCACCUAGCGAGGACCCGUAAGAUGAUUCAUUAUUAUUAUCAGUACUAACGUUACUACUAUUAUUUUUGUGUUUAUUGUCAGUGUCAUAUUACUGUACAAGGACAGUGGAUAAUAUUGGUAGUUAAUAAGAAAAUCAGCUCAAAUCAUUAAUCGCCCCUCCCCUCCACACCCAAAUACAUGCGUGUGCAGGACGGGUUUAAGCACACCUCUAGUUCUGUCAUACUUGUGCACAAAUCACACGAAGAUUUUUAGUGUGAAUUACUACCUGUCUUGUGUCCUUCGUGACAAGUGCCUCCGUUCCGACUUGCGCACAGGCAUCGCGAUGGCCGCCAUCUUAGGGGUCCUCGCUAGGUGGGACCCGAUUGUUCAAGAUGCAUUUUAAGGGAAGAUACGACUCUUUUCUCAUGUUUAUCUUUUAUUUAACAUAAACAAACGUAUAUACUUUUAUAAUAGCGUUCAAAGCUCUGUCCCAGACGCUCUCGAGUUACGUUGAGACUGAGGAUUCCCCAAUCUUCCACAAUGGACUUCACAUAGGAUGAACUGUUUCCAGUUUCAGCAAAACAGCAAGAAUUUAUGAAUGGAUGACUGCACCUUAGCACUCUUCACUGCCACUGCUUGCCUCACCUGGGCCACAGAGAAAACAAUGUUGCUGCCUGUACAUGGCACAUUUAACCUCUAACCUUACAGCUGAAUCAAUGCAGUAACACUGUUAACUACCAAUGAUAUUGUACCAAAUGUUCAGACUGAAUAUACAGAGGAGAACUGGUCCCCAGUGUUUUUGGUUAGUCUGGUUUCUCCAAAGGUUUUUUUUUACUCCAGUAUCGACAUCUUACAGUUUUUUCUUAAUUAACCACCGUUGCCUUUGGCUUGCUUGCUGUAUGUAUGACGACUAAUGCAUUUAACACCAACUAUUAAAACAGUGAGGGUGUUUUUGACCACAUAGACACAA